AUUGAACGCUGGCGGAAUGCUUUACACAUGCAAGUCGAACGGCAGCACGGACUUCGGUCUGGUGGCGAGUGGCGAACGGGUGAGUAAUAUAUCGGAACGUGCCCAGUCGUGGGGGAUAACGUAGCGAAAGCUACGCUAAUACCGCAUACGGUCUACGGAUGAAAGCGGGAGAUCGCAAGACCUCGCGCGAUUGGAGCGGCCGAUAUCAGAUUAGGUAGUUGGUGAGGUAAAGGCUCACCAAGCCGACGAUCUGUAGCUGGUCUGAGAGGACGACCAGCCACACUGGGACUGAGACACGGCCCAGACUCCUACGGGAGGCAGCAGUGGGGAAUUUUGGACAAUGGACGCAAGUCUGAUCCAGCCAUUCCGCGUGCAGGACGAAGGCCUUCGGGUUGUAAACUGCUUUUGUACAGAACGAAAAGGUCUCUAUUAAUACUAGGGGCUCAUGACGGUACUGUAAGAAUAAGCACCGGCUAACUACGUGCCAGCCGCCGCGGUAA
rnacentral:rRNA from 1 species